rnacentral:rRNA from 1 species
ACACCUACGGGUGGCAGCAGUGGGGAAUAUUGCACAAUGGGCGAAAGCCUGAUGCAGCAACGCCGCGUGAGGGACGAAGGCCUUCGGGUUGUAAACCUCUUUUAGUAGGGAAGUAAGGGAGCUUGCUCUUGACGGUACCUGCAGAAAAAGCACCGGCUAACUACGUGCCAGCAGCCGCGGUAAUACGUAGGGUGCAAGCGUUAUCCGGAAUUAUUGGGCGUAAAGAGCUCGUAGGCGGUUUGUCGCGUCUGCUGUGAAAACUGGAGGCUCAACCUCCAGCCUGCAGUGGGUACGGGCAGACUAGAGUGCGGUAGGGGAGAUUGGAAUUCCUGGUGUAGCGGUGGAAUGCGCAGAUAUCAGGAGGAACACCAAUGGCGAAGGCAGAUCUCUGGGCCGUAACUGACGCUGAGGAGCGAAAGCAUGGGGAGCGAACAGGAUUAGAUACCCUGGUAGUCCAUGCCGUAAACGUUGGGAACUAGAUGUAGGGUCCAUUCCACGGAUUCUGUGUCGCAGCUAACGCAUUAAGUUCCCCGCCUGGGGAGUACGGCCGCAAGGCUAAAACUCAAAGGAAUUGACGGGGGCCCGCACAAGCGGCGGAGCAUGCGGAUUAAUUCGAUGCAACGCGAAGAACCUUACCAAGGCUUGACAUAUACCGGAAACGGCUGGGAAACAGUCGCCCCGCAAGGUCGGUAUAC